UACGUAGGGGGCUAGCGUUGUCCGGAUUUAUUGGGCGUAAAGAGCGUGUAGGCGGCCAGGUAGGUCUGGUGUGAAAACUCGAGGCUUAACCUUGAGAUGUCAUCGGAAACCAUUUGGCUAGAGUCCGGAAGAGGAAAGUGGAAUUCCUGGUGUAGCGGUGAAAUGCGCAGAUAUCGGAAGGAACACCAGUGGCGAAAGCGGCUUCCUGGUCCAGCACCGACGUCAGGCACGAAAGCGUGGGGAGCAAACAGG
rnacentral:rRNA from 1 species